rnacentral:lncRNA from 1 species
AAGAAUUUGAAAGAAAACUAAUCAAAUAGCUCAGGUCAUAAUGGGAAGAUGGCAUUGGACACAACUCAUUAUAUUCUCUUCCCUUUGGAAUUCAGGCACCAAUGACCAAAAUUAAUGUGAAAAAAGAGAUCUUAAGACUAAUAUAACAAACUCUUUGUAGCAAUAAGAUACCAAAUUCUAAUUUGACUUUUUCUAUUGAUUCCAGGUCGUUAGGUAAUAACUCCUUCAACCAAUUGCCACUCAGAAAAUAUUUGAAUCCACCUAUAACCCACCCACAUCAAGUCUUCCCUCCUUUCCAGACUGAACCAAUGUUUACCUCACAUGUGUUGAUUGAUGUUUUAUGUCUCCCUAAAACAUAUAAAACCAAGCUGUAACUCAACCACUCAGGACACAUGUUCUCAGGAUCUCUUGAGACUGUGCCUUUGGCCUUGGUUACUCAUUUUCGGCUCAGAAUAAACCUCUUUAAAUAUUUUACAAAGUUUGUUUUUUUCAUUUU